UAAUAACAUGACUAUAUACAGGGAGUACCAGGUAAUAACAUGACUAUAUACAGGGAGUACCAGGUAAUAACAUGACUAUAUACAGGGAGUACCAGGUAAUAACAUGACUAUAUACAGGGAGUACCAGGUAAUAACAUGACUAUAUACAGGGAGUACCAGGUAAUAACAUGACUAUAUACAGGGAGUACCAGGUAAUAACAUGACUAUAUACAGGGAGUACCAGGUAAUAACAUGACUAUAUACAGGGAGUACCAGGUAAUAACAUGACUAUAUACAGGGAGUACCAGGUAAUAACAUGACUAUAUACAGGGAGUACCAGGUAAUAACAUGACUAUAUACAGGGAGUACCAGGUAAUAACAUGACUAUAUACAGGGAGUACCAGGUAAUAACAUGACUAUAUACAGGGAGUACCAGGUAAUAACAUGACUAUAUACAGGGAGUACCAGGUAAUAACAUGACUAUAUACAGGGAGUACCAGGUAAUAACAUGACUAUAUACAGGGAGUACCAGGUAAUAACAUGACUAUAUACAGGGAGUAGUACCAGGUAAUAACAUGACUAUAUACAGGGAGUACCAGGUAAUAACAUGACUAUAUACAGGGAGUACCAGGUAAUAACAUGACUAUAUACAGGGAGUACCAGGUAAUAACAUGACUAUAUACAGGGAGUACCAGGUAAUAACAUGACUAUAUACAGGGAGUACCAGGUAAUAACAUGACUAUAUACAGGGAGUACCAGGUAAUAACAUGACUAUAUACAGGGAGUACCAGGUAAUAGCAUGACUAUAUACAGGGAGUACCAGGUAAUAAAUAACAUGACUAUAUACAGGGAGUACCAGGUAAUAACAUGACUAUAUACAGGGAGUACCAGGUAAUAACAUGACUAUAUACAGGGAGUACCAGGUAAUAACAUGACUAUAUACAGGGAGUACCAGGUAAUAGCAUGACUAUAUACAGGGAGUACCAGGUAAUAACAUGACUAUAUACAGGGAGUACCAGGUAAUAACAUGACUAUAUACAGGGAGUACCAGGUAAUAACAUGACUAUAUA